UACGUAGGGACCAAGCGUUGUUCGGAUUUACUGGGCGUAAAGGGCGCGUAGGCGGCAAAUUAAGUCAGCUGUGAAAUCUCCGAGCUUAACUCGGAACUGUCAGCUGAUACUGAUGUGCUAGAUGCGGAAGGGGCAAUCGGAAUUCUUGGUGUAGCGGUGAAAUGCGUAGAUAUCAAGAGGAACACCUGAGGUGAAGACGGGUUGCUGGGCCGACACUGACGCUGAGUGCGCGAAAGCCAGGGGAGCAAACGGGG
rnacentral:rRNA from 1 species